ACACUCCUACGGGAGGCAGCAGUGGGGAAUUUUGGACGAUGGGCGAAAGCCUGAUCCAGCAAUGCCGCGUGAGUGAAGAAGGCCUUCGGGUUGUAAAGCUCUUUUGUCAGGGAAGAAACGGUGAAAGCUAAUAUCUUUUGCUAAUGACGGUACCUGAAGAAUAAGCACCGGCUAACUACGUGCCAGCAGCCGCGGUAAUACGUAGGGUGCAAGCGUUAAUCGGAAUUACUGGGCGUAAAGCGUGCGCAGGCGGUUUUGUAAGUCUGAUGUGAAAUCCCCGGGCUCAACCUGGGAAUUGCAUUGGAGACUGCAAGGCUAGAAUCUGGCAGAGGGGGGUAGAAUUCCACGUGUAGCAGUGAAAUGCGUAGAUAUGUGGAGGAACACCGAUGGCGAAGGCAGCCCCCUGGGUCAAGAUUGACGCUCAUGCACGAAAGCGUGGGGAGCAAACAGGAUUAGAUACCCUGGUAGUCCCAUGA
rnacentral:rRNA from 1 species